rnacentral:lncRNA from 1 species
AUUUGGGAAAUGGGGGAGAACAAAUGUUCUAUCCCUCUUAAAAUGUUAUUAAUUCACUUAUAUACAAUUUAGGAGGAUUGAGACUUAACAGAACGAUAACCGUUUCUGUUAAGUCUUAUCCAAUUAGAAAGUUUUAAAAUUGUAUCCUAGCUUAAAGGUGUUAUAAAAGUAAUUAAACUAAUUACAUAAAAGUUCCUUAUUAUAUCACUAAUAGCCCCCCUCAAACUCAUCUAUAUCUAUCGAUGAGGUUGGCUUUAAGUUCCAUGAAUGAUGUUGGCCUUAAUGAUUUUAUCAAUACAUCCGCUCUUUGCUUGGUGCUAAGAAUGUGAAUAACUUCUAGAGUUUUAUUUUCAACUCUUUCUCUCACAAAGUUGAAGUCCACAGCAGCAUGCUUGAUUUUUGAAUGAAAAACAGGAUUGGCAGCAAGUUGUGUGGCUCCCAAAUUGUCACACCACAUUUUGUAAGGUUUAUCAACCUUUAUACCCAUUUCAGACAGUAAAUUAGCCACCCAAUCUAAAUCUGCAGCUGCUGCAGUAAUAGCUCUGAAUUCUGACUUAGUGCUUGAUCUGGACACUGUUGUCUGCUUCUGAGAACACCAUAUCACCAGAGAUUUACCCAUAUACACAAGGUAACCAGACUGACUUUUCCUGUCUGUCUCAUCUGAAGCCCAAUCAGCAUCACUGUAGGCUGAAAUGUUGCAAUUACUGGAUUUUCUAAGAACAAUUCCCAUGAACUGAGUUCCAGUCAGAUAUUUGAGAACUCUUUUCAUCAUCUGCCAGUGAAUCUCCUUAGGUUUUUCCAUGAAUUGAGCCAGCUUGUUGACUGAAUACGCAAUGUUUGGUCUUGACAUUGUCAGGAACCAACAAUCUUCCUAUAUUCAGUUGCAUUUUCAAUUACUUCAGCAUCAGAGAAGAAAGAUUGAUCAUGUUGCAUUGGAGUAGAAAUAGGUUUAAGGCUCUGAAAAUUUUGUUUGUUCAACAGAUUGACCAAAUAUAGUUGUUGGUCUAAAAACACACCAUCCACAUGUUUUCUUACCCUUAUCCCUAGAAAAUAUUCAAGAUCUUCACACAACCUUACUGCAAAUUCAGACUUUAGAAUAUCAAGACACUCCUUCACCUUUUCUGAGCUUGAACCAGUAAUGACCAUGUCAUCAACAUAGACUAAAAUGUAAAUAACUUCAUCAUCAAUUCUCACAAAUAAAGAUUCAUCAGAAAAGUAUGUUUUGAAUCCCAUUCUGUCCAAGGACUGUUUCAACCGUCUAAACCACAUCCUGGACGCUUGUUUUAAGCCAUAAAGUGCCUUUUUCAAAAGACACAUGUCUUGGUUUUCAUUCAUCAAGGAAGCCAGCUGGUUGCCUCAUAGCAAUCUUCUCUUCUAACUGCCCAUGAAGAAAAGCAUUGCUAAUAUCAAUCUGUUGCAUCUCCCGUCCUCUAGAGACUGUAAUGGUAAGGACUACUCUUAUGGUUUUGGGCUUCACCACAUGACUGAAUGUUUCACCAUAAUCUUGCCCCUCCACUUGAUUGGUUCCAUUGGCUACCAAUCUAGCCUUUAGCCUUUCAACUGUCCCAUCAGAUUUUUCUUUGACCUUAAACAGCCAAAUAUUGUUUAUGACAUUGUCUGUGGCAGAUUUGGGUAUCAAUUCCCAUGUUUCAUUCUUUAUGAGGACGUCAUAUUUUUGUUGCAUUGCCUUCUUCCAUUCAGGAUCUGUCAAUGCCAACUUCACAGAUUUUGGUGCAACUUUCUGAGUAGGAGUAAUCGAUAAAACAUAUUUUGAAUUUCCUCUGCUUGAUGCUGCCCUUGUUACUGAAAUAUGCACCAUAUCCCCUUUCUUCGAGAUAUUAGGCUGAUACUCUUCAUCUGAAGAUGAUGAAAUAUUCUCAUCACUUAAUGAACCUUCUGCCACUGCAUGUUGCUCAUUAACUGCAUCAAUGGGAUGUUCUGAAAGAACCAUAGCUCGUGAAGAUUCUGCUGGCUGAAGAAUCUUCUCUCUUCUAGUAUAAGUCUGAAUUGCAGGCAUAGAAGGAACACAAAUAUCUGAAACUUUUUCUGAUCUCACAGCAACCUCUGUUUCAGAUGUUUGCACUGUUUCUUAUUCUUUUUCAUCAUCUGUACUAUGAUUUGACUGCACUGUGUUUUCUGAAUUCAUACCCUUCUUGUAAAGAAAAUCAUUCUCAUGAAACACUACAUCUCUUGAUAGUGUUGUCCUUCCAUGUUCAUGCAUAUAUAUUCAUCACAAUUUGCAGGAUAUCCCAUGAACACACAUUGAUGAGAUUUGUCACCCAAUUUAUCCUCCCUAUAGGGCCUCAUGUUAGGAUAACAAAUAGAACCAAAAACUCUCAUUUAAAAAUAUUCUGGUAUCCUAUGAUUGAGUGCUUCAUAUGGAGAGAUUCCUCCCAAGACACUUGUAGGAUUUCUGUUAUAGAUGUAAACAGCAGUCAUAAACGCAUAAUCCCAGAAAUGAUCUUCAAUCCUUGCAUGAUUGAACAUGGCCAGCCCUGUAUCGACUAUGUGUCGAUGCCUUCUUUCCACCUUACCCAUUUGAGGAUGAGUGUGUGGACAACUAAGGCAGUGAAUUAUACCAUUCUUUCUAAGAUAAGUGGAGAGCUUGAGAAAUUCCUUAGCAUUAUCACUCUGAACUGCCUUGAUUUUAAGUUCAAACUGCCUUUCCACUAAUUUCUGAAAUUGCACAAAACAGUCCUCUAUCUCAGACUUCCUUUUCAUCAAAAAUAACCAAUUAAAACUAGUGGAUGCAUCUACAAAAUUUAUGUAGUAUCUAUAGCCCUCUAAAGAAUCCCUAGGUGCAGGACCCUAAACAUCCGCAAACACAAGCUCAAGUGGAUUACUGUAAACAGUGCAUCUCUUAGAAUGAUUUAAUUUCUUAGAUUUCGUUACACAGCAAUUUUGACAUGGUACAUGGAUAUUUUUAGAAUCGGUAACAAUAAUCCUCUUAUUUUUAUUUAAAUCUUCCACUGCUCUCGAGUGUAAAUGCCCUAGCCUCAGAUGUCAGGUCCUUGCAUUUGCCUUUUUGCCCAUCUCCACAUGAUUCACCUGCAGUUCAGCACUCCUUAUAUUUAUGGGGAUCUCGUACAACCCAUCUCCUUCAGGUCCAGAUAUCAGUACUUCUUUUGUGACCAGAUCCUUCACUGUCACCUUCUAUGGAUCAAAUUCCAUAGAAACCCUGUUAUCAAUAAAGAACUUCUUGACCGAGAUUAAAUUCUUGGAUGCUGAUGGAACAUAAAGAAGCUGUUCUAAUUUAAUCAUUCUAUUAUUUACUGAAAAGCUAGAAUUACCAUAAUGAGUGAUCUUCAUAGGCCUUCCAUCUGCUGUGUUGAUGGCCUUAUCACAUUCCACAGAUUGCUGAAUAUUUUGCUGAGCUUUUGUAACAUGAUUCGUAGCUCCUGAAUCUGCAUACCAGAGAUGUGCUUCCUCCUGCAUUGCUACCAAAUUCACAGUAGGCUCAUCAACAGUACCUGUUUCAGGGUACCAAAUAGAUCCAGAACCUUUAUAUGCAGUGUUAACGGACAUUUUUCCAGUAGGCCUGUUAGGUGAUAGUACUCUAUUAUGUGUUGGAGGAUAUUUUGUGAUGUUCAGCCUAUUGUAGCAGUUCAGUGCAUCAUGUUUUCCAGAGCAAAUCUGACAUGGAAUAGUACUGAGUUUCACCUUCCCUUGCUUCUGAACUUUUUCUGUCUCAACGACAUUAAUGCUCAGAGGAUUUGCUACAUUGGAUCUAGAUUUUCUUAUUUCUAUAUCCAUGAACAUUGUUUUUACCUCUCUAUAUGUAAUAUCAUCCCUCCUUGCCGUAAUGUUUUGAAUCAACGAUUCAUAUUCAUCUCCUAAUCCAACCACCACUAGAAGGACCAGAUCUGCAUCAUCUAUUUUCUUUCCAGCAAUUGACAAUCCUUCCACAAGCAUAUUGAUUUCAACAAUAUAUUCAGUAAAACUUUUUCCCUUCUUGAGAUUUUGCAACUUUUGAUUGAUUGCAAGAAUCUGUGAACGCGAGGAAGAUGCGAAUUCUUCUUGAAGAAUCUUCCAACAGUCUGAUGAGGUUUCACAACUUGAAACCUCUGUGACCACCGACGCCGUGAGUGAAGAGAGUAUCCAACCCAAAAUUAAUUGAUCCUGCCGGACAGCCACCGGCGUGCUUAAUUCCACUUCUCCGAGGAGGUAAGGAAUGAGGCCAUUACCUCUCAAAGCUCUAAGAAACUGCGUCCUCCAGGCAAAAUAAUUGUCUCGAUCCAAUGCAACAGUCUUGGGAGACUUGAUGAUCACCACUUUCGUUGGAGUCUUCAACUCAUCCCAAUUAAGCAGCAUUUACCACAUCUUUACCGGAUUCUGCCAUGAUCGCGCAGCGGAAUUUGAUCAGCAACAGCCGGAAAAAUGGAUCAGCAACAAAUCUCCCCGAUCAGCAACCGCAAUUGAAUUCAAAUCCAACGACUGAUACCAUAUGCGUGUUAUGAUCAGAAUGCGUUUGGGAAAUGGGGGAGAACAAAUGUUCGAUCCCUCCUAAAAUGUUAUUAAUUCACUUAUAUACAAUUUAGGAGGAUUGAGACUUAACAGAACGAUAACCGUUUCUGUUAAGUCUUAUCCAAUUAGAAAGUUCUAGAAUUAUAUCCUAGCUUAAAGGAGUUAUAAAAGUAAUUAAACUAAUUACAUAAAAGUCCCUUAUUAUAUCACUAAUAAAAGUAAAAUUCAAAACAUAAAAAACACCUGUUUAGCGAUAAAAAAUUUAACAUCCUU